rnacentral:rRNA from 1 species
AGGAGCAACCAUAUCAGCACUAAUGCACGGGAUUCCAUCAGAACUCCGAAGUUAAGCAUGCUUGAGCGAGAAUAGUUCUAAGAUGGGCUUGUCUUAUGACUU